rnacentral:hammerhead_ribozyme from 1 species
UCACUGCUGAAGAGUCCCAAACUAGGACGAAACAGAUGUCCAGUAC